GAUUAACGCUAGCGGCAGGCAUAAUACAUGCAAGUUGAACGGGAUAAGUUGUAGCAAUACGACUUUGAGAGUGGCGCACGGGUGCGUAACACGUAUGCAAUCUGCCCCUAUCUGUGGAAUAGCCCCUCGAAAGAGGGAUUAAUACCACAUAUUAUAUUGAGGGGGCAUCCCUUUGAUAUCAAAGCUUCGGCGGUAACGGAUGGGCGUGCGGUUGAUUAGGUAGUUGGCGGGGUAACGGCCCACCAAGCCUACGAUCAAUAGCUGAUGUGAGAGCAUGAUCAGCCAAACGGGCACUGAGACACGGGCCCGACUCCUACGGGAGGCAGCAGUAAGGAAUAUUGGGCAAUGGACGAAAGUCUGACCCAGCCAUGCCGCGUGAAGGAUUAAGGUCCUCUGGAUUGUAAACUUCUUUUCUCUGGGGCGAAAACCAGCUAUUCUUAGCUAUUUGACAGUACCAGAGGAAUAAGCACCGGCUAACUCCGUGCCAGCCGCCGCAGUAAAAC
rnacentral:rRNA from 1 species